rnacentral:lncRNA from 1 species
UCAAAAGUCAAGAGUUGUGACUCUUGAAAUCUUAACCAUCAGUCCGGCAGCAUCCAAUAAUCAUAAGGUGACUCUCUGAGUUCCGAGAAAGAAGCUACCAUACCACAUGUAUGAUCCAAAAUAACACGGGAUCUUAUUGGGUUCUGGUGAGAUAACCGCCACAAUAUCUAUCGAAGGGGCACGAUCACAGAAAGACACAUUACAUGUCUGUCUUCACCGGCAGGACAUUAUUCACCGGAUUGCACCUAACCACUGGAUCCUCAAAGUACCGCAAGGACCAUAUGCACCAAUUCAC